UUUCGAAACCAAAUGGCCAUCUGUGGCCGACAAGUGAGUGUGAUUGCCGAGGGUUUUGGAGAAAGUGCCUGCUUACUGUCGAGGAAAUGAUUUGUAGAUAUUGCAAUAAGUUUUUAGACCCGUGGAAUGCCGCUGCCGAUCGAAUCUAGCCCUACA